AAUUUCAUUACAAUUGUUACAUAACAACAAUGCAGACUGCAAUUGCUUUCCUAGCUGUCUGUCUUUUGGGUGAGUAACGAUUUAAUACUUGGAUGCUUAAGGAUGUAAAAUCUAAAAAAAAAUGUUUGAGUAGUAUUUUGUUUUCCUCUGAACAGACCUAAUAAUAUAGAUACCGUCUAUUGAUCAGUUCUUCCUUGCAUUCCUGUUAGUUUACAAAAUGCCUCGAUAACUAAGCAGAACAAAAUAUCAAAUAGGCAAGGAUUAUAAUCACUUUUAAAUACUCCCAAAUUUCUCCACUACAUAAGUUUAUUUUUCGAUUUUCCCCAAGACAUUCCUAGUGGUCAUAUUUAGUUCGAAUAUGUUUCUUUAAAAAUGGCCAUUGUUAUUAAUCUGGAAUUAAUUCGUUUGUUUUCAUUGCACUCUUAAUUACUUUAUUUUCUUCAUGUUUUGUUGACUCGAACUAAAAACUGGCAUCCACGAUUCCUUAAAACUUUCAUGAGAGACAAAGCCUAACCAUCAUAUACAUUUACUUAGGGUUACUUGCAGGCUUAAUCAGUUGAUAUUAGUUUCAGUAACUGUCUAUUUUGUUUUGUAAUUAAUUAUAUUUUCCCCCGCCAUUAUACCUUUUGAAUACUUAUUUAAACUCAAAAUGUUGCAUUUAGAUUACAGACCCCCACCCCCCCAAAAAAUAAUAAACUAACAAAAAUCGUACAAAAAUAUGGCUAUCGGCAUUUGGAAAACUUGCGAGUAGAAACAUUAAUAAAAAAUAUUAAAGAUAUUAACAUGUACUAGUAUUUGCAAAUUGCUAAAUUAUAUUCAAUCUUUAUAAAGAGUAAACCGACUUUGGUAUUCUGCUUUCAUAUUUAUGAAAGAAUGCAUUAUAUGUUCUUUCAAUAUUGUUUAAUAUGAAAUGAUUAUUUACAGCUAUUGUUACUGGAGAACCAUGUACAGGUAACACAAAUUUGGACAAUCAGUGCUCUCAUCUCAAUUGUGAAUCAGGAUGGCAUUUAGCCUGUAAUAAUGGCCAGUGUACUUGUCUUCAAAACACUUCAAACAGUAAGUUGAAACACAUCUGAUCACUAAAAAAACAUUAGUGAAACAUUUUUAUUAGAACUCUUCAUUUAUUCACAAUAAUUUAGCAUAUGAUGAUAAUCUGGAAUAAUUAACUCCUUUUCGAGAUUGAUUUAUAAGUGACGUAAUCGGCCAUUUGAGAAAAGGGCGCGCUGAUAUUAUAAACAAUGAGGUAGUUAGGAUUACAAUUUUCGAGUGAGUAUUUAAGGUAUACAGGAAUUGUUGACAAACAUGUAUGCGCAUGCUGUUCUAUGUACUAUUUACCUUUAAACUUGUUUUAUGUUUAAUGUUCUUGAUCAAUAUCCAUGUACGGUUCGGUGAGGGAAAAACUCUUUAACAGAGUGACUUUGUGUCAUUUUUCUAGAAUAAAAGUAGGCAUACAGUCAAUUUAUAAUAAUUUCGUCGCCAGAAUGUUGUGUAAAUAUUUUGAUAUGAGCGUCACUGAUGAGUCUUAUGUAGAUGAAACGCGUGUCUGGCGUAAUAAAUUAUAAUCCUAGUACCUUUGAUAACUAUUGUGUCCGUCAGUAAACCUUUUUGAUUUAAAAAUCAAAUGUUUAUUUUAUAUAGCAUGUACUACUAAAGCAGAGUGUGAUGCAGUAGCUAACUGGAACUGUCAAAUGAACCGUCGUCAUUGCAUUGAUGGCACUUGUAGAUGUAGCAGAUUUUGAUUUGAUUAAAUUGUUUGUUCACAGA
rnacentral:lncRNA from 1 species